rnacentral:rRNA from 1 species
AUGGCAGUGUUCAACCAGUUCCAUAGCUUAUCCGGAGCCAAUUUCGACAAGAUAAAUUCUGCUUUUGUGGCCUUGCUACCCAAGAAAGACGGAGCUGAAUCUGUGGGAGAUUUUCGGCCCAUCAGUCUCAUCAACUCCAUUGCUAAGCUCAUUACCAAGGUGCUCUCGAUCAGAUUGUCUGAGAAGAUCUCACCCAUCAUUUCGCCAGCUCAGAGUGCAUUCCUCAAAUCAAGAUGCUUACAAGAUAACUACCUCUAUGUCAGAAACUCAGUUCGAUCCCUC